UACGUAGGGGGCUAGCGUUGUCCGGAAUCAUUGGGCGUAAAGAGCGUGUAGGCGGCCCGGUAAGUCCGCUGUGAAAGUCGGGGGCUCAACCCUCGAAUGCCGGUGGAUACUGUCGGGCUAGAGUGCGGAAGAGGCGAGUGGAAUUCCUGGUGUAGCGGUGAAAUGCGCGGAUAUCAGGAGGAACACCAAUUGCGAAGGCAGCUCGCUGGGACGUAACUGACGCUGAGACGCGAAAGCGUGGGGAGCAAACAGG
rnacentral:rRNA from 1 species